GUUUUUCUGGUCCUUAAUAAAAGGUGUGCUUUACUCGCAACAGAAUGCAACUGUUGAGAAGAAGAGGGAGUGCCUUAUCAAGGCACUUUGUGUCUACCUAAAUGAAGAACUGGACAGUCUCUUCAAAGAAUAUCUGGAUACAGAUGGCUGUGCUGCAGAGAGGAUCUUAAACAUGUUGUAUUUGGCAUCUACAGCAUCAAUGUUGGAGGUGAUGCCACUACCUCUCGAGCUGAUGUUGGAAUUGUUAUUAAGGGGGUUGAAGUGCUUCAUGACUUGGGAGACAUCGCUACUGCAUGUACGGUCUUAAUGUCUCUAGUUAUUCUCAGGAACUGAAAACAUUCUCUGAGGUACUGCAGAAGAUCUUCCUCCAGCUGGAUGCUACCAGACUUUCACCAAAAGUACAGAUGCUUAAAAACAAACUUUAAGUAUAAACCAACAUCAAGCACCUGAGUUGAGUUCCCAAUGAAGGCCUUUUUUGCACUUUUUUGAAAAUGUUUGGAUGUUUUGUUUUGGAUGCAAUAUAUUUGGGCUUUGUUUGUAUUUGAUAGAAAAAAUAGGGGUAAAUGAUCUUAAUUUUGUUAAUAUGGUAAAAAAUUGUUUAGUUGAUGUUAUUGACAUUAAGGACAGGGUUGUGCAUUUUCCUUAAAAAAAAACAAAAAAACUUUUUUUUAAAGAUUCAUACAGUGAGCUUGUCACGUCAAAAUACAUGCCCGCUGCAGACAUCUCGAAAAGGUUUAGGAUAAGAGAUGAUCGCCUUUACAAUAUACUGGAAAGACACCUGCUUAACUCUGAUUUCACAAUAAUAUUAAGCGAGUAUACAGCAAACUCAAGUGUCUCUUUUAUCAUAAACCCCUUUGAUGGAUCUGCAGACAUGUAGCAAUGUAACUUCUAUUUUUCCUUGCUCCCAUCUUAUGUGAUAAAAUAGUGCUUUGACAGAAUUGCUGAAUGACUUCACUUAUGUUUAAUUUAUUUAUAUUAAAAAUACGUUUUUUCCUCAGUUUAAAUGGUUUUCUGUCUGCUUUGUGAAGUUAUUAUAGGUUUUAACUGUAUGUAGUACAAUAUAAACCUUUAAAUUAGACAGUUCUGAACUGUAAAAAAGAUGUUCAUGAACCGUAAAUAUUACAGUGUAAACCCUGGAAUUUGACGGGUAUAAACAGUUUUUUAGCAACAUAAGUAUGUUAAUUAGACAGUUAUGAACUGUAAAAAACUAUUAAAUAAUCCGUAAAAUAUACAGUACAGUGGUUGCAAUCCCGUAAAACUAAUAACGUUGCUACCGUAUUUUUGACGGUAAAGUUCUGGCAACCACAGCUGCCAGUUUUUUACCGUAAAAUUU